UCUAUCAGAUCCAGGAGACGAACCGCCCCCCAGCACCUCCCUGCCCCUGUUCUGUUCCCACGCGAGAGGUGAGCCGUCAGGCGGCCACGGCCAGGGCUGUUGCCAUCCCCUGCUCCACGAUCCGAUGUGUGCACGGCGGCGCAGACCGCCGCCGACGGGACUAAUCCAUCCCCGCUCACUUUGGUUCUGAUCCCUGCAGUCGGCAGCGGGCAGCACACAUUGAUUCAGUUUGAAACCAACAACCCACAGAUUCAGCUCGGCAGCCUUGGUGGAGGCGACAUGGUCAGCACAAGGUCCAUGAGUCUUCGUAACGAGGGAAACAUGGAAAGGGCGCUGGCCAGUGGCAAGGACCGCAUCAGCGCCCUCCCCGAUGAGCUCCUCCAGCAUGUGAUGUCCUUCUUGCUCUCCCGCGACGCCGUGCGCACAUGCUUGCUCGCUAGGCGCUGGAGCAUGCUCUGGAAGUCCGUGCCUGCCCUACGCAUCGUGGAUGACCUUGCGACUGACUCCUACAAGUUCGUGGAUGAGCUGCUGCGCCUCCGUAACCCGGCGCCAUUGAACGUAUGUGACAUCUGUGAUGCGUACGAGGAUUCGGAUACAGAGGAUCCGUUAGCUUUUUGCGAGGAGGCAUCCGAUCGCAUUGCGCCGUGGCUCCGGUAUGCUUUGUUGCAUCAAGUUCGGGUGCUACGAGUCACUGCUCCUGUCUUCCCAACCGACCUGGUUCUCGUCUCUUCACACCUGAAGAGGAUAGAGCUUUGUCACAUGCAGUUUGAAGAGACUCUGGAUCUUUCGAGUUGCCAGGUGUUAGACGUGUUAGAUAUGACAGAUUGUAACAUCUAUGCGAGUAUCUUUUGCCAGUCAUUACGACACCUUAACAUGAAAGGUGGAUGUUUUGACAAUGAAAUCCGCCUUCAUAUUUCUGCCCCAAAUCUCGUUAGCUUGAAACUAGCUCCAGAGUCAGGCUUGACUCCAUUGCUUGAUAGCAUGCCAUCACUGGUAACAGCAUUCUGUCGAAUCUUCCGAAGAGGAGUUUCAUCACUGUUUUACUCUACCAUCAUGUGAUGAAGGAUGCACUAGGGAAGAAACAUUUUCUGUGGUUUUGGAAGGCUUGUCUGCUGCUACAAACUUAGAGUUAACAAGUGAUGAUCUGUUAUCUGUUGUCAGAAUGGAUUUGAAGUGGUCCCCCAUGUUUAGCAAACUAAAAACGUUGUUGCUGAAUAAAUGGUGUGUGGCUGGUGAUUUCACUGGAUUGGUUUACUUUCUCCAGCACUCACCAAUUCUAGAGACACUCACGCUACAACUUAAUAUUCCAACUCAUAAGAAACAACGUGUGAAUGAAGCAGAUGAAAGAUAUGCCCCAAAGAAGCAAUCAUUACUACCGAAGCAUCUCAAAAUAGUCAAAAUCAUAUGUGGCAUGAUGAAGGACGAUGCUAGAGUUUACCGUGUUUUGAAGUUGCUUUGUGCUCAUGGAAUGCCUUCUGAGAAAAUUGACAUCCAAUAGAACCCUCUUCUGCUAUUCGACUGCUUCUAUAUCGAGCUGCGGGUGGGGACUUACAGCUGUGCUGGUCUACUUCAUCCUCCAUUACCUACGCCCCCGAACCACAUCAUGAAGUUGCUGUGUUUUGUCUACCGGACCAGGAUCUCGCCCUUGGUGCUCAUGCCCGUGUCCCAUAUUCAUAUGAACUCGUACGUAAACUGCUGUAUGUCCUGAUUUGAUGCAGCUGGAGCAUGUCGUUGCAGUGUCAUCGUAAUUCUGCAAGUUCAGUUUUGCUCGUUUCCUGAAGUUUCCCCUCGCAAGGCCUGUAUUUUGCCAAGAUGCUUCAUCUAGCUUUGUUCCAGAUCACGCUAGGUUCUUUACAGAUGUGUUAUACUGUAACCCGUCUCGUGUUAACGGAAAAUCGUUUUCCAGAUGUACUCCCUCUGUAAACUAAUAUAAAAGCGUUUAGAUCACUAUUUUAAUACUCUAAACACUCUUAUAUUAGUUUACCGAGGGAGUAUAUGUCUGGCAUAUGUUGCACCUUUCAGCAACAGGCCUCACUCGA